GAUACUCCCCUAGUAGCGGCGAGCGAACGGGGACCAGCCGAGCCAUGAGAGUGAUUAGAACCAGUUGGAAAGCUGGGCCAUAGCGGGUGACAGCCCCGUAUAAGAAGCUCAAUUGGACGUAUUAAGUAGGGCGGGACACGUGAAAUCCUGUCUGAACAUGGGGGGACCACCCUCUAAGGCUAAGUACUCCUUACUGACCGAUAGUGAACCAGUACCGUGAGGGAAAGGCGAAAAGCACCCCGACGAGG
rnacentral:rRNA from 1 species